CCAAAGGCUCUUUUCAGAGCCACCCAC
rfam:Pteropus alecto contig104252, whole genome shotgun sequence.